ACCCUCUCAGGAUCACACCUGGAGAGUUUCCGGUAUUCUACCAGCCUCAGCUACGGGAGGGAGAAUCAAACAGAGGCACCAUACCCAUUCCACUCCUAGCUUGGGCACUGGCUAGACAGUGGAAGGCAAUCUGCUACAGAU